rnacentral:rRNA from 1 species
UACGUAGGGGGCGAGCGUUGUCCGGAUUUAUUGGGCGUAAAGAGCUCGUAGGCGGCUUGGCAAGUCGGGUGUGAAACCUCCAGCUCAACCUGGAGACGCCACUCGAUACUGCCAUGGCUAGAGUCCGGUGAGGGGACCGACGGAAUUCCUGGUGUAGCGGUGAAAUGCGCAGAUAUCAGGAGGAACACCGGUGGCGAAGGCGGAUCUCUGGGCCUUACCUGACGCUGAGGCGCGAAAGCUAGGGGAGCGAACAGG